UUUUUGCAUCUCAUUUUUUUCGUUUUCUCUCUCUCUCUUUCUCUCGCGAUUGAGAGAAAACGAAGAUUUGUAUUGGAAUCUUCUGGGUGUGGAGGAAGAGGAGAUUGCUGUCGGAGGAGAUGCUCAUCAUCGUGAAUUGAUGAGUCAGCCGUGUCCUAUCGCGAUAUUUUGAAUGAAUCGUGAAUCGGCUCCGAUUGCAUGUACGAAGGAAUUUGGAAUCAGAAGGCAGGGAAAAAUUGAAAGAGAAUCAUCUCGAUCCGGUGGCGGUGACGCUGAAGGAGAAGAGUAGAGAGGUAAAAGAUAAGCUUUGGAGGAUUGUUUAUCAAACAGGUUUCUUUGUGAUUUGCAAAAACAGUCAACAAUGGUGGAGCGUGGGAAGAGGAAUCAUAACCGUUUAGAGACACUAACAAUGAGAACAACAUAUACCUGGUGAGUCUGAAUCAGUGAAGAAGGCACUUUUCGCUGCUUCUGCAAUCAUGUACAAAGUCAGUCCUCGAGAACAGAUUCCUCUUGAUACAACUGUCCAAGAAGUUCCCGCUAGUUUUAUAAUUCCUUCAGAGCUAUAUGUUUAUCCACAAGCCGGUUUAUAUUUGUGUACAAUUGUUUGUUUGUUUUGUAUCAAAACGUGAAUCCUGAGUAAUGAUGUUUGUAUUUGAAAAAAAUGCUGUAAGAUGAGGUUCUUGCUAAGUUCUUGAAGAGACAUGGAGAAGCAGCUCGGCUACUAUCAGGUUGAUCACAUCAAAGGAUCAUGCUUCUGUGCAGCUCAACAUUGGUCAUCUCGAUGCUGAUGGGGUGUACACUGGUCAAUUCACUACAUUUGCUCUCUGCGGUUUUGUCCGUGCUCAGGGUGAUGCCGACAGUGGAGUCGACAGGCUAUGGUAGAAGAAGAAGAAGAUUGAAGCCAAACAACAGUAAGACCAACAAGCUUUGUUUUCUAGUUUCUAGGUUUCUUUUUGAAAUCUAGAUGUGAACCUUUAUCUUCAUCACAAUCUAUUUCUCUUUAUCACAAUCUUCUCUUUUCACCUAUGUAACAUAUCCAUCAAAAGUUAAAUCAUGAUUCUUGAUGAUUCUUAUUUAGUAUUCUCUACUACUA